AACCUAGCACACCUGCGGUGUGUACCUGCGGAGGGAUCAUUAACAAGCUGUGGGAGAUCGAUCAAUUUGAUCUCACACCUGGCCAACCUUGUUAACCUUAAAUAUAUUGCUUUGGUGAGCCCUGCUCACCAAAGUCAAACCCUAAACUCUUGAUUGUUUCUGCUGUCUGAGCAUGCAAGUGCAAAAUUUAGUUAAAAACUUUUAGCAACGGAUCU
rnacentral:misc_RNA from 1 species